UACGAAGGGGGCUAGCGUUGUUCGGAAUCACUGGGCGUAAAGCGCACGUAGGCGGAUUUGUUAGUCAGGGGUGAAAUCCCGGGGCUCAACCUCGGAACUGCCUUUGAUACUGGCAAUCUCGAGUCCGGAAGAGGUGAGUGGAAUUCCUAGUGUAGAGGUGAAAUUCGUAGAUAUUAGGAAGAACACCAGUGGCGAAGGCGGCUCACUGGUCCGGUACUGACGCUGAGGUGCGAAAGCGUGGGGAGCAAACAGG
rnacentral:rRNA from 1 species